rnacentral:rRNA from 1 species
UACGUAGGGCGCAAGCGUUAUCCGGAAUUAUUGGGCGUAAAGAGCUCGUAGGCGGUCUGUCGCGUCGGCUGUGAAAACUCGGGGCUCAACCCCGAGCCUGCAGUCGAUACGGGCAGACUAGAGUGCUGUAGGGGAGACUGGAAUUCCUGGUGUAGCGGUGAAAUGCGCAGAUAUCAGGAGGAACACCGGUGGCGAAGGCGGCUUGCUGGGCCAGUUCUGACGCUGAGGAGCGAAAGCGUGGGGAGCGAACAGG